CCAAAGGCUCUUUUCAGAGCCACCUACACUUUCAGCGUAAAAAGCU
rfam:Mus musculus chromosome 13, GRC primary reference assembly.